ACUAUUAGGUUGGUGCAAAAGUAAUUGUGGUUUUUGCAAAUAAUUUUAAUUGCCAAAACUGCAAUUACUUUUGCAUCAACCAAAC
ensembl:miRNA